UUGUCUAACUGUCCCUAUUCUGUGUAAGUCAGCUAGGUGUUGAUCCUGUGAGAUUAGUAAAAAUAUGUAUCCAGAUGGUUAAGAGGUCCUGGGCAGGUAAUUUUGUUUUUUACCAAGCUAUUCACACCCACCAGGGCUUCUCUGACAUCAGAGUAACCAUGAGAACAAAGCUUGAGUCAUCAGGACCCUGAGACAUGAGCGCCUCAUUCAUCCUUUCCCUGCUGUGUCCUCCCAUCUGCAUUUUGAGUGAUAUUGUACCACCACUGCUGGGAAAAUAUGGAAUUAAUCAACAUUGUUCAUGUGCCUGGAGAAGCCUAGAGCAUGGACCCGCCUGUCAGUCAACACAUCAAUGGAUACAAGCAGUGGAUAAUGGUAACACUGAGCUCAUGGGCUUCAGUUCCAUGAUGUCUUCUCUUCCUCCUCAUCUCUUAGAACUUCAUAAGUCCCAGUGCAAGAGUCAAUAAUCUUAGCAUCAUCUUUCCAGUCCCUUUCUCCUGGUCCGUGACCUCACUGCACACAUCAUCAAGACACUGGAGACCUCUGUCAAGAGAAAUAAUUCAUCUUUGUUCAAGUCACCUUUACCUGCUUCAGAGACCUGUUUGAGAAUAUGUGUGCAACCCUAGAAGCCACAUGCUGGUGAUGGUGAAGCCACGGAUGGAAGGAGCUUCGGUCCCAGAAUCACCACUGUGAUAGAGAAACUUUCAUUACGUGAAGCCCUUGGGAUGUGAAGGUUUAUCUAUUACAACAACUAGCCUACCCUUGGUUAAUAUACUCAGGAUGCUCAUAUGGAGAAAAAGAGGGUGCUAGUUAGAAUGAUUUCUGAGGUCCUUCAGAGCUUAAUAGCUUCUGGUUCUAUGGCGCCAUGAAAGAAGAGUGCAAAUUCUAGCAGCAUCGCAUUGAACAUGAUUUAUAGUAACUUGUGAGCUUCUCUAUAGUCCCUGUCUUUGGAGAACUUCCAUUUGAGGCCAGCUGUGGUAAAUAGCUUUACUUUCUUGGCACUGUACUUUAUUCCAAAUGAAAUAAGUCAGAACCCUUCUCAUCUCUGUGGACUGAAUAUAAUUGCAAGGGCCUCUUCAUGUGCUCCAGGAAAUGAUGAACAUGAAAUAAAUAAUGUUUUGCAAA